CAUGUAAUAGGGUGUGGUUC
rnacentral:siRNA from 1 species